GAUAUUAGCAGUGUGCAGAAGCGCGGCUCUUAUGUUUCAGCUUUUAGGCACCGGGAGAGAGAAAGUAGCCAGCACAAGGAGAAACUUUCCAGAUUCAAGUAUGGCAGUGUUUCAACUGAGUGGACUGGAAGAAUGAUUGCAAAUUGAAAUGACUUUGUAACGAAGUCUGAGCUCGCAAAAAAAAAAAAAAAAGGGCAGAAGAAAGGAAUAUUCAUUUUUUCUGAAAUUAGCAGAAAGAAUAACACUUGGAGAAAACAUCUAUCAUUAUGUCAGCGAGGAGGCUGACCUCAUGUGUUGACCUCAUCGGUGACUUCAUACCUACGGGAAGAGUUGCUGACCAUGCCGUUCCCUGAACCAAGUACCGUCCGGGCUAAAACGGAGCGUGCAAAAGCAUGGCAGAGUGGGACCUCAUCGCUGGGCUCCGGAGUUUGUCCCUCCCUGCCCUAAUACUGGCCAGGCAGCAGCUUCUCAUCAGGCGUGAGGGACGCCCAAGUCCCCUUC